rnacentral:misc_RNA from 1 species
GAUGAAGAACGUAGCAAAAUGCGAUACUUGGUGUGAAUUGCAGAAUCCCGUGAACCAUCGAGUUUUUGAACGCAAGUUGCGCCCGAAGCCUUUUGGCCGAGGGCACGUCUGCCUGGGCGUCACGCAUCGCGUCGCCCCCCACAAUUCUCCGUAAAAGGAACAUGUGUUUUGGGGGCGGAUAUUGGUCUCCCGUGCUCAUGGCGUGGUUGGCCGAAAUAGGAGUCCUUUCGAUGGACGCACGAACUAGUGGUGGUCGUAAAAACCCUCGUCUUUUGUUUCGUGCUGUUGCUCGCAAGGUAAACUCUUUAAAAACCCCAAAGUGUCGUCUCUUGACGACGCUUCGACCGCGACCCCAGGUCAGGCGGGACUACCCGCUGAGUUUAAGCAUAUCAAUAAGCGGAGGA